rnacentral:piRNA from 1 species
AAUAGAGAAAUUUGAGUCAGUGU